rnacentral:lncRNA from 1 species
UAGGCUCGGAUUCAUCAGAUUCUCUACUUGCGUCAUUUGCAAUGGAAAGACCCUCCCACAAGCAAAACCAUAUUCCUGCUGCUGUCAGUUAUGAUGCACUGAGAAAACUUCAGAGACCUAAACUUUUUCCAGAGAAGAGAAGCUUUACUGGUGUUCCAGCCCUAAGCAACCAUCUUUCCUGUGAAAAAUUCCCUCUCCUAGUACUUUAGUUCUGUGGAUCCAAAAUUUAUAGCAUUCUUCUACCACCACAGGGGUGAGUAUAUAAUAAAAAAUGUCAGUUAUUCGAGUAUGUAAGAAACUUGAAAGUCAUCACUCCCAUCCUUACAACAAGAAAAAUGCUGUACAAACAGACUAUCAACAACUCAUUUUAGAUCCAUUAGAGGACUGAGG